AUUGAACGCUGGCGGCAGGCCUAACACAUGCAAGUCGAGCGAGAGGCGGACGGGUGAGUAAUGUAUGGGGAUCUGCCCGAUCGAGGGGGAUAACUACUGGAAACGGUAGCUAAUACCGCAUACCAUCAGAUGAACCCAUAUGGGAUUAGAUUGUAGGUGAGGUAACGGCUCACCUAGGCGACGAUCCCUAGCUGGUCUGAGAGGAUGAUCAGCCACACUGGGACUGAGACACGGCCCAGACUCCUGCGAGAGUAAGCAGUGGGGAAUAUUGCACAAUGGGCGCAAGCCUGAUGCAGCCAUGCCGCGUGUAUGAAGAAGGCCUUAGGGUUGUAAAGUACUUUCAGCGGGGAGGCGUUACCCGCAGAAGAAGCACCGGCUAACUCCGUGCCAGCAGCCGCGGUAUAC
rnacentral:rRNA from 1 species